rnacentral:rRNA from 1 species
GACGAACGCUGGCGGCGUGCCUAACACAUGCAAGUCGAACGGGGUGUUCCUUCGGGGACACUUAGUGGCGAACGGGUGAGUAACGCGUGAAGAACCUGCCUUUCAGUGGGGGACAACAGUUGGAAACGACUGCUAAUACCGCAUAAUGUUACCGGGUGGCAUCACUUGGUAACCAAAGCUUUAUGUGCUGAAAGAUGGCUUCGCGUCUGAUUAGCUAGUUGGUGAGGUAACGGCCCACCAAGGCGACGAUCAGUAGCCGGACUGAGAGGUUGACCGGCCACAUUGGGACUGAGAUACGGCCCAG